rnacentral:rRNA from 1 species
AGCAACGCCGCGUGGAGGACGAGGGCCCUCGGGUCGUAAACUCCUGUCCAGAGGGAAGAAGCCAGUGACGGUACCUCUGGAGGAAGCCCCGGCUAACUCCGUGCCAGCAGCCGCGGUAAUACGGGGGGGGCAAGCGUUGUUCGGAAUUACUGGGCGUAAAGGGCGCGUAGGCGGUCUGGAAAGUCUCGGGUGAAAGCCCCCGGCUCAACCGGGGAAGUGCCUGGGAAACUACCGGACUGGAGUGCUGGAGAGGGAAGCGGAAUUCCCAGUGUAGCGGUGAAAUGCGUAGAUAUUGGGAGGAACACCGGAGGCGAAGGCGGCUUCCUGGACAGACACUGACGCUGAGGCGCGAAAGCCAGGGGAGCGAACGGGAUUAGAUACCCCGGUAGUCCUGGCUGUAAACGUUGAACACUUGGUGUGGGGGGUGAGAAGUCCCUCCGUGCCGGAGAAAACUCGAUAAGUGUUCCGCCUGGGGAGUACGGCCGCAAGGCUGAAACUCAAAGGAAUUGACGGGGGCCCGCACAAGCGGUGGAGCAUGUGGUUUAAUUCGACGCAACGCGAAGAACCUUACCGGGGUUUGAACUGCACUGGCGACCCCUGGAGACAGGGGGUUCCCUUCGGGGACUGGUGCAGAGGUGCUGCAUGGCUGUCGUCAGCUCGUGUCGUGAGAUGUUGGGUUAAGUCCCGCAACGAGCGCAACCCUUGCCUGUAGUUGCCAUC